AUUGAUCGCUGGCGGCAGGCCUCACACAUGCAAGUCGAGCGAGCGGCGGACGGGUGAGUAAUGUAUGGGGACUGCCCGAUAGCGGGGGAUACCUACUGGAAACGGUGGCUAAUACCGCAUACUAUCGGAUAACCCAUAUGGGAUUAGCUAGUAGGUGGGGUAAAGGCUCACCUAGGCGACGAUCUAUAGCUGGUCUGAGAGGAUGAUCAUCCCCACUGGGACAGAGGCACGGCCCAGCCUCCUACGUAGUCAGUAGUGGGGAAGAUUGCACAAUGGGCGCAAGCCUGAUGCAGCCAUGCCGCGUGGAUGAAGAAGGCCUUAGGGUUGUAAAGUACUUUCAGCGGGGAGGCGUUACCCGCAGAAGAAGCACCGGCUAAAUCCGGGCCAGCCGCCGCGGUAAUAC
rnacentral:rRNA from 1 species